AUUACAGGCGUUGAGCCACCGUGGCCGGCCCUUAAAAGCAUCAAACUACAUACAAGACCGUAAGGAAGCUGUGGGUCAACGCGGAGGGACGUGGGAACCCAUCCCGGUGAAGCGGCAGCGUCACGUCCUUUCUCCCAGGGAUCUGUUGGUCGGAGACAUCUGGACUUUCAUGUGGACAGCCUGAGUGACAGGGGGACCCAGGGGCCUCACCUGGGCUACCUGGGAGCAGAAAGAAGCAGAGACUGGUGGAGUCAGUGGAGACUGAAGGGCAAGAGGAGAGGAGAGAAAGGACAUAAUUGCUUGCAUACCAGAAGUGCUCAAUAAAUGUAGUCCUUGCCUUGGAAGAGGGCAGAGAGCUCAGAAACACAAGGAAAGGACAGAAGAGGGACCGGGGAGGAAGAGAGUGAGGAGAGAGGAGCCAGAGGCACAGGAGGAACAAGUAGAGGGCGCCGAGGACGGCACACCCGAGGCGGGCACACCCGAGGCGGGCACACCCGAGGACGGCACACCCGUGGCGGGAGACGGAGUGUGUGAGGAGAGGCGAGGAGGCAUUUUGGGUGCAUACAGCAGCACCGGAGGAGCGUGAGCCCCAGGGGGCACGGACUUGUGUUUUUUUCUGCUGUGUCACUGAUGAGGAAACUGAGGCCCAGCAGUGAGAAACUGGCAUGAGGUGGCAGAGAACCAGGAGGCCUCCUGGGCUCUCGGCCCCACACACCAGGGUGUCU
rnacentral:lncRNA from 10 species